CGCGUAGGCGGCUUUGUAAGUCGGAUGUGAAAGCCCUGGGCUCAACCUGGGAAUGGCAUUCGAUACUGCAGAGCUAGAGUAUGGUAGAGGGAAGUGGAAUUUCCGGUGUAGCGGUGAAAUGCGUAGAUAUCGGAAGGAACACCAGUGGCGAAGGCGACUUCCUGGGCCAAUACUGACGCUGAGGUGCGAAAGCGUGGGGAGCAAACAGGAUUAGAACCCUGGUAGUC
rnacentral:rRNA from 1 species